GGAUGUGAGGGCAAUCUAGCUGCAACAUUUGUCAUCCCAUUGACUCCCAGGAUUGAUUCAGCUGAUCUGGCUGGCUACGCGAGUGUCCCCUUCCUCCCUCACCACUCCAUGUGAUGUGCAUCCCUCGUGAAGCUGCGCACUGGGUCAAAGAGGAUGACCAUCCCCGAGAGUAGGACCCAUCUUCAUUAAAGGGUAUACCAGUAUUGGCGCUCCUCUGAUAGAAUCUCCAAACAAAGAGCCAACUUCUUCUGCUAAAUGCCAUGCUGGUUGCAUUCCAGU
rnacentral:snRNA from 1 species